GACGAACGCUGGCGGCGUGCUUAACACAUGCAAGUCGAACGGAAAGGCCCUGCUUUUGUGGGGUUCUCGAGUGGCGAACGGGUGAGUAACACGUGAGUAACCUGCCCUUGACUUUGGUAUAACUUCAGGAAACUGGGGCUAAUACCGGAUAGGAUCUCCUGCUGCAUGGUGGGGGGUGGAAAGUCGCGGCGGUUGUGGAUGGACGCGCGGCUUAUCAGCUUGUUGGUUGGGGAGUUGUUUGCCAAGGGUUUGAGGGGUAGCCGGCAGGGGAGGGUGAACGGCGACCUUGCGCCUGAGAGAGGGCGCAGACGGCAACGGGAGGCAGUAGUGGGAAACAUUGUACAACGGGCGGGAGCGUGAGGAGGAAACGCUGCGGGCGGGAAGCCGUUUUUCGGGUUGUAAAAAGCUGUCGGUUGUGACCCCGCGGGAGUGACGGUAACGAGUAAAGAAGCACCGGCUAACUUCGUG
rnacentral:rRNA from 1 species